AAUAAUUCCUCCUGUUCGUCCCCUCUGGAGGGUUUACAGAGGACGUUGGUGCUGCCAGGGAUCUAAGUUGUGACGUGGCUCCACAUCUGUGUGCUGAAUGGACUUUAAGUGAUUCCUAUUUUGAUUGUUAAUGCCAUCAUGCAGUUUUCAGAAGGCAACCAGAGAGUUGGCCAGCUGUUCAAGAUUGGCCAGGCUUCUAUCUCUGCCAAAGUGACUGCACGUUGCCUAUGCUGAAUUUCCAAAGGAGAAAGCUUAGUAUCAACCAACCACUCCAGCUGUGGUGCUUUCCAGACGAAGUGGCUAUGCCUUGAGACUGCAGCCUUCUUCACCUGCACAUUUCUCCAG
ensembl:lncRNA